rnacentral:rRNA from 1 species
CGGGUGAGUAACGCGUGGGCAACCUGCCCUGUACAGGGGGACAACAGCUGGAAACGGCUGCUAAUACCGCAUAAGCGCACAGCAUCGCAUGAUGCCGUGUGAAAAACUCCGGUGGUACAGGAUGGGCCCGCGUUGGAUUAGGUAGUUGGUGAGGUAACGGCCCACCAAGCCGACGAUCCAUAGCCGACCUGAGAGGGUGACCGGCCACAUUGGGACUGAGACACGGCCCAA